UACGUAGGGAGCAAGCGUUGUCCGGAAUCAUUGGGCGUAAAGCGCGCGUAGGUGGCCCCAUAAGUCCGCUGUGAAAGUCAAAGGCUCAACCUUUGAAAGCCGGUGGAUACUGUGGGACUAGAGUACGGAAGAGGCGAGUGGAAUUCCAGGUGUAGCGGUGAAAUGCGUAGAUAUCUGGAGGAACACCGGUGGCGAAGGCGGCAUCCUGGACCGAUAUUGACGCUGAGGAGCGAAAGCCGGGGGAGCAAACGGG
rnacentral:rRNA from 1 species